AAUGCGGAAAGUGAGAAGGCGGGAUAAAAAAGCGAGGCCGAAGGUAGGCUGGCAGAUAGGUUCAUUCGCUUACUCCUUUCUGCCCGCGGACGCCGCCAAGUAAGCAUCGUUGAAGUUCCCCCCCCUCCCACUGCCGUCAUGUCUAAGUCAGAGUCUCCUAAAGAGCCCGAACAGCUGCGGAAGCUCUUCAUCGGAGGUUUGAGUUUUGAAACAACCGAUGAAAGUCUGAGGAGCCAUUUUGAGCAAUGGGGAACGCUCACGGACUGCGUGGUAAUGAGAGAUCCAAACACCAAGCGCUCCAGAGGCUUUGGCUUUGUCACCUAUGCCACUGUGGAGGAGGUGGAUGCAGCCAUGAAUGCAAGGCCACACAAGGUGGAUGGAAGAGUUGUGGAACCAAAGAGGGCUGUGUCCAGAGAAGAUUCUCAAAGACCUGGUGCCCACCUAACGGUGAAAAAGAUUUUCGUUGGUGGCAUUAAAGAAGACACUGAAGAACAUCACCUAAGAGAUUAUUUUGAACAGUAUGGGAAAAUUGAAGUGAUUGAAAUCAUGACUGACCGAGGCAGUGGCAAGAAGAGAGGCUUUGCUUUUGUGACCUUUGAUGACCAUGACUCUGUAGACAAGAUCGUCAUUCAGAAAUACCAUACUGUGAAUGGCCACAACUGUGAAGUAAGGAAAGCCCUGUCUAAGCAAGAGAUGGCUAGUGCUUCAUCCAGCCAAAGAGGUCGGAGUGGUUCUGGAAACUUUGGUGGUGGUCGUGGAGGUGGUUUUGGCGGGAACGACAACUUUGGUCGUGGAGGAAACUUCAGUGGUCGAGGUGGCUUUGGUGGCAGCCGAGGUGGUGGUGGAUAUGGUGGCAGUGGGGAUGGCUAUAAUGGAUUUGGUAAUGAUGGUGGUUAUGGAGGAGGCGGCCCUGGUUACUCUGGAGAAAGCAGAGGCUAUGGAAGUGGUGGACAGGGUUAUGGAAACCAGGGCAGUGGCUAUGGCGGGAGUGGCAGCUAUGACAGCUAUAACAACGGAGGAGGCGGAGGCGGCUAUGGCGGUGGUAGUGGAAGCAAUUUUGGAGGUGGUGGAAGCUACAAUGAUUUUGGCAAUUACAACAAUCAGUCUUCAAAUUUUGGACCCAUGAAAGGAGGAAACUUUGGAGGCAGAAGCUCUGGCCCCUAUGGUGGUGGGGGCCAAUACUUUGCCAAACCACGAAACCAAGGUGGCUAUGGUGGUUCCAGCAGCAGCAGUAGUUAUGGAAGUGGCAGAAGGUUUUAAUUACUGCCAGAUUUAAUAUCCUUUGAAUGGAAUGACAACUGUAUGGAUUUGGGACUGGCAGAGCUUUGGACUUUACCCUGCCCACUGCCCCUGAUGAUGUUCAAUGCUUCUAUCACAAUUCAAGUUCAAAACUCUGCCAGAGAAUAGAAACCAGCUGCUGGCUGAUGCCACCCUAUAAGUCCACAAAUUAGAAGUGUUUGGGAGACCUUUUUAAACUGACCAGCACCAGGAGGAGUCUGCUACCACAGGCUUUAUCAACUCUUAAAAAAAAAACAGAGACUCAACUAUCCAAGUUCAUGGCUAAAAGGAACAUCCUUGUGAGGACAACCUUUAUCUGAGCCACUGUGCACUUCAUUUUUCACUGCCAUGCAGUUGCUACUGGCUGCUCUGCAGUUUCAAUGUAAUCAUUCAAUUUUGUGAAUGGACUUUUUAAAUAAAAUUCUUUUGACUUUGUU